AAUCAUAUAUGGGUUCUCCAUAGUAAGUGUCUUCCAUUCCAUAUUCGUUAGAUAUGUCACGACGUAUAUGGUUUGAAUCUUUAGAUCCCCUGCAGCUUCUCAGCCCCACUCUCACCAUUAGUUACAUCACGUAUAUGGUUUGAAUCUUUUGAUCCCCUGCAGCUUCUCAGCCCCACUCUCACCAUUAGUUACAUCACUGUCAUCCUUAACCACAUGCAACCCCUCAGCUCAACUCUUCCCAUGAUCCAUAUACCAUAUCCCAUCUACUGCACUAUACUUGGCAUGUCGAAUCCCGAGAUAUUGGAGCUCAAAUAAACCCAUUAAAUUGGUAAGAAGGAAUAAGGUCUUUGAAGUCCAACCAACAUAAGUGGGUUCUGGACCACUAAAAUACAUAACACCACCACUAAACAAGCGGAUUUCAAUGGUGGCAGCCAUGCUGCAAAGGAGACCAAGAAAGCACAUCAAUUCAUUUGAUCAACCAAGUUCAUCUAUGAACGAAGUAAAAAAGGUACAAUUAUGUAGGAUCACCAAGUUUAAGCAGAUAUUGUCAAAAAUAAUAAAUCGAGCAACCCUAUACAAGUAAAAAGAAAUAAUCGUAACCACACAAACAAAAUCAUAAAUCGUAUCGACACAAACAAAACCCUAAUUAAUAACUCACACAUGCAAGCUACCAACCACAAAC
rnacentral:lncRNA from 1 species